rnacentral:tRNA from 1 species
AAGGGAGACCUAAUUCAGGUAGGAGACGAAAAAAAAGUAGUCCCUACCAAGAAUCAAUCCCAAAAGGUCGGAGCGAGGCAAAAUUGGCUUUCAAACUAGGUUCUGGGUUCACACAAGACCUGAAUCAGGAACAAGGGCUAUUAGCUCAGGUGGUUAGAGCGCACCCCUGAUAAGGGUGAGGUCCCUGGUUCGAGUCCAGGAUGGCCCACCUGUACAGGUGGCAAAAACAAAGAAAAGAAGCGAGGAAUCAGCACCUUAUCUUACUUAUAUAGUAAGAGAGAAUGCUGGCUCUGAGUUCAGAGUCCAGAGGAACCUUGAAGACUGCAUAGAGCUAGGUGAAAAAGCCAAAAAAGAAGACCACAA